rnacentral:rRNA from 1 species
CGCCUUUCGAUAAAUAAAUAUGAAAGGUCCUGCCUGCCCAGUGAUAAUUAUUCAACGGCCGCGGUAUUAUGACCGUGCAAAGGUAGCAUAAUCACUUGUCUUUUAAAUUGAGACCAGCAUGAAUGGCAAAACGAAAGCCAAACUGUCUCCUUAGGCUAGUCAAUGAAAUUGAUCUUCCCGUGCAGAAGCGGGAGUAAAAAUAUAAGACGAGAAGACCCUAUGGAGCUUAAAAAUAAAGCUAUAUAGACGCUAUAAUAACAUUAAAUUUAGGUUGGGGCGACCAUGAGGUAAAAUAUAACCCUCAAGAUAAUAAUUAGAAGGACACUUCAAAUUAAAAUAAAAUUUAUAAAUGACCCAAAAAUGAUCAACGAACCAAGUUACCCUAGGGAUAACAGCGCAAUCCAUUCCCAAAGCCCAUAUCGAAGAAUGGGUUUACGACCUCGAUGUUGGAUCAGGACCCCCUAAUGGUGCAACAACUAUUAAAGGUUCGUUUGUUCAACGAUUAAAGUCCU